CAGAACUAAGAUGAGGCCCGAGGUGUCCGAAUGCUCACUUUACGGUUUAACUGAACCACGGGGGACUAAAGGAAUAUUAGUUAGGCUGAGCUGAACAUACACUGUUCGGAUCAGUGGCUGUAAGUGAUAGCAAACCAGGAGGCCAGGGAGUGAGAACAAUCCAGCGUUUGUUGUGGAAAGAGUUCCUACACACAGAUUUCGGAGGUAUCCCCCAUGUCUCCCAGGUUCCCUCUAACAUAACAGGGAUUGUGACAGACGCUCCUAUAGACUGCAUCACACCACAGAGCAGGCUCAAAGAAAAGGACAUGUAUGUUCCUGGGUAGACCUGAGGAGAUCAAGUAACAUCUGAGAAGGGACAGGCCUGCCUGUCGAAGACAUGGAUAAGCAACUACCUGGGCUAUAACCUCACUGCCUUUCAGUCGGUGUGUGGCAAGCACACGCUAUGGGGUUCCCAUUCUGCCCCUUAAAAUGAGCUCACUUUUUGCUUUCGCAAAAGACAGCUGAGGGGAACUGCAGGCCUGGGCUGGAGGUCACUGGGUGGGUGUGAGAACACUGAGAAGCUCCUAGGUGCUCCCUGAUUUAGAAGUCCUUGGCCUGGCAGUAACAUGGAACCAGAGCCCUGUGGGGUACGUGCUCCAGACGGGCACAGGGGCACCCGCCCUCCUGCCUGCCAUCCAGGGCAUGGCCUCCUGACUGCCCCACAGUUUUGAACAACUCGGACCUGGCAUGAUCAGUGAACAUUGCUCCUCCCCCGUUUGCUGAGCCAUCCCUUGCCCAGUGACAUCUGAAUCCCAUCUAAGGCUCUUCUUUCUUGGCUCUUCUCCCUCCUCCAAACCUGCUUCCCCUAGUGCUGGGGAUGGAACCCAUAGCUUCCUGCACGCUGGACAAAUGCUCUACUGCUGAGGUACAACUCUGUAACUGCUAAAGGUUGAACACGGGACAGCAAGAUGGGUCAGGUGAAGGUGCUUGCUGCCAACCUUACAACCUGACUUUGACCCCCAGGACCAGAAACAAAUCCUACAAGCUGUCCUCUGACUCCAUUUAUUACUAAAUAAAUAAAUGUGGGAAAAUCCCUAA